rnacentral:rRNA from 1 species
UUUUAUGAGAGUUUGAUCCUGGCUCAGGACGAACGCUGGCGGCGUGCCUAAUACAUGCAAGUCGUACGCUUCUUUUUCCACCGGAGCUUGCUCCACCGGAAAAAGAAGAGUGGCGAA